rnacentral:rRNA from 1 species
UGGAACUGAGACACGGUCCAGACUCCUACGGGAGGCAGCAGUGGGGAAUAUUGCACAAUGGGCGCAAGCCUGAUGCAGCCAUGCCGCGUGUAUGAAGAAGGCCUUCGGGUUGUAAAGUACUUUCAGCGGGGAGGAAGGGAGUAAAGUUAAUACCUUUGCUCAUUGACGUUACCCGCAGAAGAAGCACCGGCUAACUCCGUGCCAGCAGCCGCGGUAAUACGGAGGGUGCAAGCGUUAAUCGGAAUUACUGGGCGUAAAGCGCACGCAGGCGGUUUGUUAAGUCAGAUGUGAAAUCCCCGGGCUCAACCUGGGAACUGCAUCUGAUACUGGCAAGCUUGAGUCUCGUAGAGGGGGGUAGAAUUCCAGGUGUAGCGGUGAAAUGCGUAGAGAUCUGGAGGAAUACCGGUGGCGAAGGCGGCCCCCUGGACGAAGACUGACGCUCAGGUGCGAAAGCGUGGGGAGCAAACA